rnacentral:misc_RNA from 1 species
CAGAAAUGGUAGAUAAAAGUGUUCGUAGCUAUUAAAUUAUUUGAGAAUGAAAGAGUUAACGCGAUUAAUUACUUUCGAAAGGAUUCACUUAAAAGAAACUGCGAAUAAACGUAUCCAUCUGAAGGAAGGGAAGAACCUGAAGAACAUUCAUUAAACUUUCAUCCUCGUCCCAAUAUGCUUUUGCUGACACCAAAAGAAACAAAAAAAUCUAAUUAGAAUGAACAUGAAACUGCUGUCAACGUGUUAGAGUAUGUAUAUUUGCAAACUCAUUUGCGAUCUGUUUCGCGAUAUUUGAGGCGGAGUUUCGCGUGCACGCGUGUUUUACGAUCGACAACGUUCCGCAACGAAGGAAGAGUCGAGACU